UACGUAGGCAGCAAGCGUUGUUCGGAGUUACUGGGCGUAAAGGGUGCGUAGGCGGCUUUUUAAGUUUGGUGUGAAAUCUCCCGGCUCAACUGGGAGGGUGCGCCGAAUACUGAGAGGCUAGAGUGUGGGAGAGGAAAGUGGAAUUCCUGGUGUAGCGGUGAAAUGCGUAGAUAUCAGGAGGAACACCGGUGGCGAAAACGGCUCUCUGGACCAUAACUGACGCUGAGGCACGAAAGCGUGGGUAGCAAACAGG
rnacentral:rRNA from 1 species